CUCCUUGCACACACCGCCCGUCGUUCCAUCCGAGCGACUCUUGGGUGAGGCGUGGUCCUUAAGUGGCUGUGUCGAAUCCAGGUUUCGUGAGGAGGGAA
rnacentral:rRNA from 1 species